UGGGGAAUUUUGGACAAUGGGGGAAACCCUGAUCCAGCCACCCCGCGUGUGCGAUGAAGGCCUUCGGGUUGUAAAGCACUUUUGGCAGGAAAGAAACGUCGCGGGUUAAUACCCCGCGAAACUGACGGUACCUGCAGAAUAAGCACCGGCUAACUACGUGCCAGCAGCCGCGGUAAUACGUAGGGUGCAAGCGUUAAUCGGAAUUACUGGGCGUAAAGCGUGCGCAGGCGGUUCGGAAAGAAAGAUGUGAAAUCCCAGAGCUUAACUUUGGAACUGCAUUUUUAACUACCGGGCUAGAGUGUGUCAGAGGGAGGUGGAAUUCCGCGUGUAGCAGUGAAAUGCGUAGAUAUGCGGAGGAACACCGAUGGCGAAGGCAGCCUCCUGGGAUAACACUGACGCUCAUGCACGAAAGCGUGGGGAGCAAACAGGAUUAGAUACCCUGGUAGUCCACGCCCUAAACGAUGUCAACUAGCUGUUGGGGGCCUUCGGGCCUUGGUAGCGCAGCUAACGCGUGAAGUUGACCGCCUGGGGAGUACGGUCGCAAGAUUAAAACUUAAAUGAAUUGACGGGGUCAUAGCUG
rnacentral:rRNA from 1 species